rnacentral:rRNA from 1 species
UACAGAGGGUGCAAGCGUUGUUCGGAAUUAUUGGGCGUAAAGGGAGUGUAGGCGGUUUGUUAAGUCUUCUGUGAAAUCUACGGGCUUACCCUGUAAAGUGCAGAGGAAACUAGCAGGCUUGAGUGUCGGAGAGGAUAGGGGAAUUCCCGGUGUAGAGGUGAAAUUCGUAGAGAUCGGGAGGAACACCAGUGGCGAAGGCGCCUAUCUGGCUGACAACUGACGCUGAGGUGCGAAAGCGUGGGGAGCAAACAGG